GACGAACGCUGGCGGCGUGCUUAACACAUGCAAGUCGAACGCUGAAGCUCAGCUUUUGUUGGGUGGAUGAGUGGCGAACGGGUGAGUAACACGUGAGUAACCUGCCCCCUUCUUUGGGAUAACGCCCGGAAACGGGUGCUAAUACUGGAUAUUCACUGGUCUUCGCAUGGGGGUUGGUGGAAAGGGUUUUUCUGGUGGGUGAUGGGCUCGCGGCCUAUCAGCUUGGUGGUGGGGUGAUGGCCUACCAAGGCUUUGACGGGUAGCCGGCCUGAGAGGGUGACCGGUCACAGUGGGACUGAGCUACGGCCCAGACUCCUACGGGAGGGAGAAGUGGGGAAUAUUGCACAAUGGGCGCAAGACUGAUGCAGCGUCGCCGCGUGAGGGAUGGAGGCCUUCGGGUUGUGAACCUCUUUCGCUAAUGGUCAAGCCGCAACAAUGGUUGUGGUGAGGGUAGUGGGUAAAGAAGCGCCGGCUAACUACGUG
rnacentral:rRNA from 1 species